AAUCAACGCUGGCGGCGUGCCUCAGACAUGCAAGUCGAACGAUUAAAGCUCUCUUCGGAGAGUGCAUAGAGUGGCGCACGGGUGAGUAACACGUAAGUAAUCUACCUUCGAGUGGGGAAUAACGUCCGGAAACGGACGCUAAUACCGCAUAAUGCAGCGGCAUCGCAAGAUGACAGUUGUUAAAGGAGCAAUUCGCUUGAAGAGGAGCUUGCGGCAGAUUAGCUUGUUGGUAAGGUAACGGCUUACCAAGGCUACGAUCUGUAACCGGCCUAAGAGGACGGUCGGUCACACUGACACUGAAUAACGGGUCAGACUCCUACGGGAGGCAGCAGUCGGGAAUUUUGGGCAAUGGGGGAAACCCUGACCCAGCAACGCCGCGUGAAGGAUGAAGUAUUUCGGUAUGUAAACUUCGAAAGAAUAGGAAGAAUAAAUGACGGUACUAUUUAUAAGGUCCGCUAACUACGUGCCAGCCGCCG
rnacentral:rRNA from 1 species